rnacentral:rRNA from 1 species
AGUGAACGCUGGCGGUAGGCCUAACACAUGCAAGUCGAACGGCAGCACAGUAAGAGCUUGCUCUUACGGGUGGCGAGUGGCGGACGGGUGAGGAAUACAUCGGAAUCUACUUUUUCGUGGGGGAUAACGUAGGGAAACUUACGCUAAUACCGCAUACGACCUACGGGUGAAAGCAGGGGAUCUUCGGACCUUGCGCGAUUGAAUGAGCCGAUGUCGGAUUAGCUAGUUGGCGGGGUAAAGGCCCACCAAGGCGAGGAUCCGUAGCUGGUCUGAGAGGAUGAGCAGCCACACUGGAACUGAGACACGGUCCAGACUCCUACGGGAGGCAGCAGUGGGGAAUAUUGGACAAUGGGCGCAAGCCUGAUCCAGCCAUACCGCGUGGGUGAAGAAGGCCUUCGGGUUGUAAAGCCCUUUUGUUGGGAAAGAAAAGCAGCAGGUUAAUACCCCGCUGUUCUGACGGUACCCAAAGAAUAAGCACCGGCUAACUUCGUG